ACAUGCCUACAACAUAGAGUUCAUGCAAUGGAUCCCAUUAGAACUCCACAGUUAAGCGCUCUUAGGCUAGAGUAGUAUUGUGCAUGAGGUGGCUCUCCCUUGGAGGUCAGUUUACACUUAUC
rnacentral:rRNA from 1 species